UUGCGAUGAUGAAAGCUUAAGAAGUCAUUAAAAGCAUUUCUGUAGGUGCUUGAUGUGAUAUCGACAUGGUGGAGACCAUGUCGUUACUGAGCGGUUACCUGAGCAA
rfam:Macleaya cordata isolate BLH2017 scaffold285, whole genome shotgun sequence.